rnacentral:misc_RNA from 1 species
GGGCAAUUCAGAUUCGAUUCAAGGCUUGAGCCCGCACAUGGACGGGCCUACUACAUAUGAUCUAGCACGCAUGAAGCUCGAUGUGCAGAGGCCUUUGCAUCACAUUUUCCCCAAAAUUUUACAAUCUUCUGUAAAUAGGACCCAAAUAUUGAAACAAUUAAAUAAAGAGGAAAACAACUAUGCAACUCUGCCAAGACACACAAAUCACUGCAACUCUGCCAAGAGGAUAAUUUUGACAGGUUUGCAAUGGUUUAUGUCCAAAUUUCCAACUGUCAAUUUUCCAAGGAAUCACUUCAGUUUCCUCAUAAUAGUAGAUCUUGUUAAGUAAAUUCCAGCCUGAUCUUGAACAUCAAACAACGAACCGAACAGGGAUUGCCUUCCCUAUAAAUUUGACAUAAGAAGUUCAUACAAAAGGUCAUUGAUGGCACUAGCUGAUUGUCAUUUGUUAAUUCCCGCUUUUUUUUGACAAUGAGAUGCAUCAGAUGGACUGAGAUUACAAACGCAACUGUGCACUGGGAUCAUUUAGAAAGGGCAGCCUUUAGUUUCUCCUUCAACUGCUCAGCGGCACCACUUUGCGUCUGGAUAGAGAAUGUGUGAAUAAUCUUAUCAUUCUCCGUUGUGGACACAUUACACUCUUGAACUGUAACUUGAUGUUCUCGGAAUGUUUCUAGGAUGCUAGAAACUGGGUGAGCAUCCAAAGGACAGCUCAGCCUCACUACAGCAUCAUCCUGUCUUGCCUGGAAAUCAAUCUCUGGCAAUGAAGGUUGCUUUCGCCUAUUGUUAGUCACCUCCUUCUCAGUUUCCAAAACUCUAAUCUUCAUCUGGAGAUCAGUGAUAUAAGUAAUAGCGUCACCAAGUAGAGAGGCCUUGUCCAUUUUAGAGAUAUUGGGGACAACAGCUCUUAAUGCAUAGAAUCUCUGAUUGAGCUUCUCCCUCCUCUGUCGCUCUGCUUCGACAUGAUUCAGUGGCUCUUCACGCCCAUUGGCAGGCUUUCUCCCUCUCUUCCUUGGUUUCCUCUCAUCUAGCUGAGGUGACAAGUCAUCCUUAGGCUGCUCCAAACCAGUAACCAUAGUUUCAGCAUUGAAACCUGAAAGAUUCAUUUGGUUCAACUGUGGAAAAAGUUUUGCUUCAUUGGGGUCGCCUGCACAGCCAUUAGAAGUACUUCCAUAAACUGGAUUAGUGCCUAUUGCUUCUGCAUAUGAUUCUGAAGCAAAAAUCAAAUCAUCUUCAACCUUAGGAGAAAAGUUAAUACUAAUUGAUCGGGAUUUUGUGCCACCAAGACUUAGUUCAUGGCCAAAAAUUUUUGGGCAUGCUCUUGCCUGAACAGCAUUUGAUGCCCCAAAUAUAGUUUUUGCCCUUUCCACAAGAUUGUGCUCUUCAGGAAUUGACUUGAUUGAACCAAGCUCCACAACUCCAGACUUGACAGGUAAAAACACUACUGUUUGGAGUCCAGCUGACCUUGCUAAAACUGAUCUCAAUUGAUACUGCUCUAAACAACUAAUCAUAUCUGAAGCCCAAAUUGAUCUACCAGACUUAUAUGACUCUGCAGGAGCAUAUGAUGAAUCACAGAGGAAAGUAAAAUACAUAGAAAUGAGGUAAAACAUUUCCAAAUCCGAAACCCUAUCCAAAUUUGCUGCAUAAUUAUCCCCAUCUAACACAUUAAAGCAAGCAUGCAGCUUUUGAAGCACAAUCUUCUUCACUUCCUCUCUUUUCUCAACUGCCUCAAAUUUGCUAUCCCCAAUAGAAUUCCCCUCUCCCGGCCCACCGCCCUUGGGAUUUCGACAAACCCCAUCACCCCAAAUCAAGAUGGACCCACCAGAUUUCAAGCUGGAUGCAUACCAGAAAAUUGCAUAAUUCCAAUUGGAACCAUCUACCAGCUGGCAUAGCCCCUGCUGCAAACCCAAAUUAUUUGGCGGCGAAACCAAAUCUGCCAAUACGUUGCUAGAAGCAGAUGCGAUCAGGAAUUCACAAGCCUCGAUACCUAAUACGGAUUCUACGAAAGCCUUUUCUUCAUUCACCCAAAAUUUCUCACCCAUGAUUCCCCUUUACACUAUUGUCUCACACGAACCCGAAAUUCCCAAAAACUGCACUUCACAAAAAUCCAAAUUUUCAGAACUGUAUCUUACACAAACAACGAAUUCUCACACUCUAAUUUCACAAAACCCAGCAAUCUAACUACGUCCAUUUCAUUAAACUCUCCAAAAACCACAGAUGAAUAAUCUAAUCUACCAGUCGAUUCACAAACUCACUACUAGAAUUCUACCCACGCUAUUAUAUUCAGCCCCUUAACAAAAUCACGUAAAACCCAACAAUUUUAACACACACAUAUUGCAAACUGAAUAGAAUUUCACGAAAUCAGGCUCAAGCAAUUAGAGAAAUAGAGAAAGAAUUAAGCUAAUCUUGCAGAGCAACUUGUCCAGUGACAGGCAGAGUCUGGCACAGUUACCCAAGAGAAGCAAAAGGAAAGCUUACCCGAGAUGAUUACGAUGUUGCGUGCUGGAUAAUAGAGGUUGAAGAUUGACGAAUUUGAAGCGUGUGAAAAAAUUAGGAAGGUUUUGGGAUGAGAUCUGAAGUGCAGGGUCUAGGGAUUGUAUAUUUGUGGUGGUACCGCCGUACCAGCGGUCCCGCUUGGCCACUUGGUAUUGAGUUUUGUUGCCUUUUCC